rnacentral:rRNA from 1 species
GGGCCCGCACAAGCAGUGGAGUAUGUGGUUUAAUUCGAAGCAACGCGAAGAACCUUACCAGGUCUUGACAUCUACCGAAUCCUGUAGAGAUACGGGAGUGCCCUUCGGGGAACGGUAAGACAGGUGGUGCAUGGUUGUCGUCAGCUCGUGUCGUGAGAUGUUGGGUUAAGUCCCGCAACGAGCGCAACCCUUGUGAUUAGUUGCUACGCAAGAGCACUCUAAUCAGACUGCCGUUGACAAAACGGAGGAAGGUGGGGACGACGUCAAAUCAUCAUGCCCCUUAUGACCUGGGCUACACACGUACUACAAUGGCCGUUAACAGAGGGAAGCGAAACCGCGAGGCGGAGCAAACCCCCAAAAACGGUCUCAGUUCGGAUCGCAGGCUGCAACCCGCCUGCGUGAAGCUGGAAUUGCUAGUAAUCGCGGAUCAUCAUGCCGCGGUGAAUACGUUCCCGGGCCUU